rnacentral:rRNA from 1 species
UACGUAGGGGGCAAGCGUUGUCCGGAAUCAUUGGGCGUAAAGAGCGUGUAGGCGGCUCGGUAAGUCCGCUGUGAAAGUCCAGGGCUCAACCCUGGAAUGCCGGUGGAAACUGUCGAGCUAGAAUCCGGAAGAGGCGAGUGGAAUUCCUGGUGUAGCGGUGAAAUGCGCAGAGUAUCAGGAGGAACACCAAUGGCGAAGGCAGCUCGCUGGGACGGUAUUGACGCUGAGGAGCGACAGCGUGGGGAGCAAACAGG